CCUUUGGAGUGUUAUAGCAAACAAGAGUAGUUAGUUUGAUUGAACGAUGAAAUUGGACACAGUGAAAAAGGAA
rnacentral:ncRNA from 1 species